CUGAGGAACAAGAACGUGCACGUCAACAAAUAAAGGCUGAUCGCUUGGCAAACGUGGAACAAGCACGAAAACGAUUAGAAGUUGAAACAGCAAACCUCGCUGCUGCAAAGCAAUUCGCCAAGGAACAAGAA
rnacentral:ribozyme from 14 species